UACGUAGGGGGCAAGCGUUGUCCGGAAUCAUUGGGCGUAAAGAGCGUGUAGGCGGCCCGGUAAGUCCGCUGUGAAAGUCGGGGGCUCAACCCUCGAAUGCCGGUGGAUACUGUCGGGCUAGAGUGCGGAAGAGGCGAGUGGAAUUCCUGGUGUAGCGGUGAAAUGCGCAGAUAUCAGGAGGAACACCUGCGGCGAAGGCGGGUUGCUGGGCUGACACUGACGCUGAAGCGCGAAAGCUAGGGGAGCGAACGGG
rnacentral:rRNA from 1 species